UAGGGAAUCUUCGGCAAUGGACGAAAGUCUGACCGAGCAACGCCGCGUGAGUGAAGAAGGUUUUCGGAUCGUAAAACUCUGUUGUUAGAGAAGAACAAGGACGUUAGUAACUGAACGUCCCCUGACGGUAUCUAACCAGAAAGCCACGGCUAACUACGUGCCAGCAGCCGCGGUAAUACGUAGGUGGCAAGCGUUGUCCGGAUUUAUUGGGCGUAAAGCGAGCGCAGGCGGUUUCUUAAGUCUGAUGUGAAAGCCCCCGGCUCAACCGGGGAGGGUCAUUGGAAACUGGGAGACUUGAGUGCAGAAGAGGAGAGUGGAAUUCCAUGUGUAGCGGUGAAAUGCGUAGAUAUAUGGAGGAACACCAGUGGCGAAGGCAGCUCUCUGGUCUGGAACUGACGCUGAGGCUCGAAAGCGUGGGGAGCAAACAGG
rnacentral:rRNA from 1 species